UACGUAGGGUGCGAGCGUUAAUCGGAAUUACUGGGCGUAAAGGGCUCGUAGGCGGCCAACUAAGUCAUACGUGAAAUCCCUCAGCUUAACUGGGGAACUGCGUGUGAUACUGGAUGGCUUGGAUUUGGGAGAGGGAUGCAGAAUUCCAGGUGUAGCGGUGAAAUGCGUAGAUAUCUGGAGGAAUACCGGUGGCGAAGGCGGCAUCCUGGACCGAGAUUGACACUGAUGAGCGAAAGCCAGGGGAGCAAACGGG
rnacentral:rRNA from 1 species